rnacentral:siRNA from 1 species
AACGCCUUUUGUAUGUUUCUUAAU